rnacentral:rRNA from 1 species
CGUGUAGGCUGCUUGGAAAGUCGGAUGUGAAAGCCCUGGGCUUAACCUAGGAAGAGCAUUCGAAACUUCCAAGCUUGAGUUUCGGAGAGGAAGGCGGAAUUCUCGGUGUAGAGGUGAAAUUCGUAGAUAUCGAGAGGAACAUCGGUGGCGAAGGCGGCCUUCUGGACGAUGACUGACGCUGAGACGCGAAAGCGUGGGGAGCAAACA